rnacentral:lncRNA from 1 species
AGCCAAGUCAGCGUGGGACCCUCUCCCUUCCCCUCUCUCGCACACAGUUUUCUCCUCUAGGCCGGAGGAGGGCGGCGCAAGCCCCAAGCCGGAGACGCUCAUGGAGAAGAUCGCCAACAAGCUCCAGUCGGCAACGGGCCGGGGAGGGGACGGCUCCGUCGUCAGACUCCGACGCGAACGAGCGAAGGCAGCAGCGGCGGCGGCCGCCGAGGCCAAGGUUUUCCGCCUCUUCGGCCGCGAGGAGCUGAUCCACAAGGUCCUCGGAGGAGGCAAACGUAUAGCUUGAUGCUCUGUGCUGAUGCUCUCUUAUCGGUGCAGUUUUUUUUUUCAAAAUAUGAAAAGCUGAUUUGGUUUGAAAUGCUUAGAGCGGGCGGGGAUUUGCUGGAUCUGUUUGGGCUCGUAUUGUUGGGUUUCGGACUAGAUCUAAAGCUUGACUAAUGGGAGUAGGAUUUUAGUCUUUUUUUUACUGUGGGUGAUUGGUUAGGUGUUUGGAUAUCUUUGACAAAUUGAAGCAACUAAGUUGAUCCACACCUUGCUGGCGUCUCAAAUUUCUCCAAUGCAGGUUGCAUUCUUACCAUGUACUUCAAUCUGAUAUGUGCGAUUCAAAUUAUCUGUAUCCGUUUUGAGUAAAUGGUCAUAUUUAGCUUUGGUAUAUCAUAUCAGUGUCUUAGUGCAGCUCGUCGGAGUUCAUCGGCUGGAAGAUAAGAAAGGGGGAACGAAGACGAAGAGGGAGGAGUCAGGGCCGACGAGGCCGCAGUAGAGACGGCAACGGGGACCCGUGACCUGAGACUCGAUAGAUAUUUACUUUAUUAGGGUAUGGGAAUGAGCUAAAUAUAUUAUCCGUGGGUAAGUAAUUGGACAAAUACUUUUACCCGAUGGUACGCGUGUAUAGAAACGUUCUUAUGAUCCCCAUACUCGAUUACCCAUGGAUAAUAAAUACCCGCAAGUUUAAAUACAUGUCAUGGCCUAAUAUCAUAUUAGCCUAGCCUAAUUAACCAAAACCAU